rnacentral:piRNA from 1 species
AAGCUAUGAAAUGGGAGUUCAGUUUCCUAGC